rnacentral:sRNA from 1 species
AAAAAUAGGGAGCUCCCUUCAGUCCAAG